CCUACGGGAGGCUGCAGUCGAGAAUCAUUCACAAUGGGGGAAACCCUGAUGGUGCGACGCCGCGUGGGGGAAUGAAGGUCUUCGGAUUGUAAACCCCUGUCAUGUGGGAGCAAAGUAAAAAGAUAGUACCACAAGAGGAAGAGACGGCUAAAUCUGUGCCAGCAGCCGCGGUAAUACAGAGGUCUCAAGCGUUUUUCGGAAUCACGGGGCGUAAAGGGUGCGUAGGCUGUUUCGUAAGUCGGGUGUGAAAGGCGCGGGCUCAACCCGCGGACGGCACAUGAUACUGGGAGACUAGAGUAAUGGAGGGGGAACCGGAAUUCUAGGUGUAGCAGUGAAAUGCGUAGAUAUCGAGAGGAACACUCGUGGCGAAGGCGGGUUCCUGGACAGUAACUGACGCUGAGGCACGAAGGCCAGGGGAGCGAAAGGGAUUAGAUACCCGAGUAGUC
rnacentral:rRNA from 1 species